rnacentral:rRNA from 1 species
GAAGAGAGAGUUCAAGAGUACGUGAAACCGUUCAGGGGCAAACGGACGGGACCGCAAAGUCCGCCCCCGGUAUUCAGCUCGUCCCGAAGCCUCUCCGGCCGCGCCCGUCCUCGGACCCCCUUUGCCUGGGGCCCGGGCGGACGUCGAGCGCGGGGCGGGACGCGUGCACUUGCCGGGGAAAUCUGCGGAGCGCCAGGACCGGUUCGGCGGAGGCGAGAAGGCCGGCGGGGAUGGUGGCCCGCCCUCCGGGGCGGGUGGUAUAGCCCCCCGAGUCGCAGGCCCUCCGCCCGGACCGAGGAGGAUCCGCGCCUGCCUCUGGCUCGAGGCCCGGGGCCGCCCGUGCCGCGUCCGCGGGAGGACUGCCCUGCAGUGCUCUCCGCGGGCCCGCGGCCGGGACGGACUCCGGUCGUCCUUGCGACGGCGCCCAGGGUCGCUGGCGAAUCUGUC